GGGCAAUUCAUGCUCAUGCAUAAAAUCUGACUCCUAUCAAGGCGCUUUACAAAAUGCAGAGCAGUGUAAUUAUAUUUGUGAUGGAGAAGCUAUAUGCGGUGGUGACAAUGCAAUCAGUAUAUACGAAAAAGAUGCCAGUAUCUCCAAUCGUCUAACUGAACAGCCGCUGUUUCCACCCAACAACUCUUGGUGUCUGGUUUACCAGUGUUUAACUGGUGCCGUUGAAUUCGAGGAGGAAGAUUGCAAAAACCAAGACUUUGCUAGUCAGUAUUUUUAAAUACACAUUGAUACUUGUACUGUUUACUUGGCAAAGGAAGUUUGGUAUUUUUUUUAAGACAGUGUGUCUUAAAAAUACAUAUUGUAAAUAAAACUAUUUAGAUAGAUCAUCAAAUAACAUCCAUGGAGUUUUAGAAUGAUAUUAUUAUUGAGACUAGAUUAUCAUAAGCAUAUUAGGAUUUUUUUUCAGAUGAUAAUGACUUUUUUUCGUGUUCUUUUGAACCUAACAACGACUGUUUCCUAUGGCAUACAAAAGACAACAAAUUAACAUGGUCCAUCCAAAAUAGUCCUCCACAAAACGAUCCAAAGCUUAAUUAUAAUGCAUCGUACUAUGCGUAUGUAAAUUGAUCUGGUGCAGCCUCAGGACAAACGGCAGUGUUGAUUUCCAGGAUAAAAUUCAAAGCUGCCGACUGGUGUCUUCGUUUCCGUUACUUCACCGAAACGUCUGUAUCGAUGGAUGUCAUUAUAUGGGAUUUGAUAGCUGAUAAAAACCAGACUUUGGUAGAAAUAAGGAAUUCAACGCACAAAAACAACAUAGGAAGAAUAUGGCAUUUAGUCGAGUGGAAUAUCAACAUGGCUAAUGAUUUUAAGGUAAUAGUAUUGUCA